AUGGAGCGCUGCUCCUUUAAGGGAAGUCUGACGCUGCGGCACACGUCACCACGCCGCUCGUAGAGGCUUAUGGGAAGUCUCUUCAUAAACACUGCCAGUGGCUAGUAUUCGGUAAGCCUGCAAAGUUCCCCUUUGCGCGUUUCAUCGCCACCGGCGAAUGCUGUGGUUGCUUCUCCCCUCGCCGUCGAGAGGAGUGCGGUGUCCAGUUCAGAUCUAGGAGAUGUGGACCAUUUCUUGUCCUCGUUGUGAUUCCAACUUGGCGUCUCUUACUUGGCUAGAGUGAUCUCUUGCUUCUCCACUGGCAAGGACUUCGGUGGACAAUACCAACGGUUACCUUGCGCCUUUCCCGUCUCCUGCACGCCGCGUGUGGUCGCUACCGGCGCCUCGGCCGUGUACCCCUGUAUUGGCACUCCGACUGUGAGAAUUGCGCUGCGCAUCGGUGCACCCUCAUCUCCGGGUAAGGUAACCUCUCGGCAGCAGAAUCGUAUGAUAGUGGGUGUCCUGCUAGCUUGGCUAACGCUCUCCUCCUCCCUCGCAGGUUGUAUCUGUGUGGCCGUGGUCAGACACACCACGCGUUUAGGUGCACGAGCGGCGACUUUUAGCCCCGGUUGUGUGGUGCCUCUGGACGCCGGGAACCCGUAUCUCGGCUGCUGCUCCGGCCUCGGAAAUUGGACAUUCGUGUGUGUGUGUGCGUGGGCGCGCUUUGGUUCAGUGUGUGUGUGUGUGUGUGUGUGUGUGUGGGCGCUCGGCUCGGUGUGAGCUGGUGUACGCUGGUGCGUGUGAGUGUGUGUGUGUAGGUAGUGUGGGGAUACCUAGGGGACUGCACUGAGCUGAGCCUCUGGCAUUGGUUUACCUCAUGUUUUGAUUUCGUUUUCUUUCGUUUGCUGUGCCUAAUUUCCCUUUUUUUUAUUAUUUCAUUCAAUUAUCUAAUUUCUAAUUUAACUGCAUGUGCUUAUUGGAUUUUGAUUUAUUUUGCAUGGUUUGCUGUGAUUUCUUCUUGUUUCUGUUUG